CUCUGGUAUUGAUUGGUGCUUGCAUCAUGAUUUACAUUUGAUUGAGUGGCGAACUGGUGAGUAACACGUGGGAAACCUGCCCAGAAGCGGGGGAUAACACCUGGAAACAGAUGCUAAUACCGCAUAACAACUUGGACCGCAUGGUCCGAGUUUGAAAGAUGGCUUCGGCUAUCACUUUUGGAUGGUCCCGCGGCGUAUUAGCUAGAUGGUGGGGUAACGGCUCACCAUGGCAAUGAUACGUAGCCGACCUGAGAGGGUAAUCGGCCACAUUGGGACUGAGACACGGCCCAAACUCCUACGGGAGGCAGCAGUAGGGAAUCUUCCACAAUGGACGAAAGUCUGAUGGAGCAACGCCGCGUGAGUGAAGAAGGGUUUCGGCUCGUAAAACUCUGUUGUUAAAGAAGAACAUAUCUGAGAGUAACUGUUCAGGUAUUGACGGUAUUUAACCAGAAAGCCACGGCUAACUACGUGCCAGCAGCCGCGGUAAUACGUAGGUGGCAAGCGUUGUCCGGAUUUAUUGGGCGUAAAGCGAGCGCAGGCGGUUUUUUAAGUCUGAUGUGAAAGCCUUCGGCUCAACCGAAGAAGUGCAUCGGAAACUGGGAAACUUGAGUGCAGAAGAGGACAGUGGAACUCCAUGUGUAGCGGUGAAAUGCGUAGAUAUAUGGAAGAACACCAGUGGCGAAGGCGGCUGUCUGGUCUGUAACUGACGCUGAGGCUCGAAAGUAUGGGUAGCAAACAGGAUUAGAUACCCUGGUAGUCCAUACCGUAAACGAUGAAUGCUAAGUGUUGGAGGGUUUCCGCCCUUCAGUGCUGCAGCUAACGCAUUAAGCAUUCCGCCUGGGGAGUACGGCCGCAAGGCUGAAACUCAAAGGAAUUGACGGGGGCCCGCACAAGCGGUGGAGCAUGUGGUUUAAUUCGAAGCUACGCGAAGAACCUUACCAGGUCUUGACAUACUAUGCAAAUCUAAGAGAUUAGACGUUCCCUUCGGGGACAUGGAUACAGGUGGUGCAUGGUUGUCGUCAGCUCGUGUCGUGAGAUGUUGGGUUAAGUCCCGCAACGAGCGCAACCCUUAUUAUCAGUUGCCAGCAUUAAGUUGGGCACUCUGGUGAGACUGCCGGUGACAAACCGGAGGAAGGUGGGGAUGACGUCAAAUCAUCAUGCCCCUUAUGACCUGGGCUACACACGUGCUACAAUGGAUGGUACAACGAGUUGCGAACUCGCGAGAGUAAGCUAAUCUCUUAAAGCCAUUCUCAGUUCGGAUUGUAGGCUGCAACUCGCCUACAUGAAGUCGGAAUCGCUAGUAAUCGCGGAUCAGCAUGCCGCGGUGAAUACGUUCCCGGGCCUUGUACACACCGCCCGUCACACCAUGAGAGUUUGUAACACCCAAAGUCGGUGGGGUAACCUUUUAGGAACCAGCCG
rnacentral:rRNA from 2 species